UGGGGAAUAUUGGACAAUGGGCGAAAGCCUGAUCCAGCCAUGCCGCGUGAGUGAAGAAGGCCUUCGGGUUGUAAAGCUCUUUUAGUCGGACAGAAAGAGUUGCAAUGAAUAGUUGUGAUUUAUGACGGUACCGACAGAAAAAGCACCGGCUAACUACGUGCCAGCAGCCGCGGUAAUACGUAGGGUGCGAGCGUUAAUCUGAAUUACUGGGCGUAAAGGGUGCGUAGGCAGUCUUGCAAGUCAGAUGUGAAAGCCCCGGGCUUAACCUGGGAAUUGCGUUUGAAACUACAAGGCUAGAGUGCAGCAGAGGGGAGUGGAAUUCCAUGUGUAGCAGUGAAAUGCGUAGAGAUGUGGAAGAACACCGAUGGCGAAGGCAGCUCACUGGGUUGACACUGACGCUCAUGCACGAAAGCGUGGGGAGCAAACA
rnacentral:rRNA from 1 species